GAAAUGAUACUCCCUCAUGCUCUGUGAUUCUCUUGUUCUCUGAUAAUUUCACGCUCUCACAAAGGAGAUCGUCGGACGGCAGCGGAGACGUCUCGAUUUGGCUUCGAUCUUCAAUUUUUCCACACUGUUCGCUUCGUCUUUCUCUUCUGACUACUAAUUUAUGCUUUGAAUUCGUAGAAAACAGAAGAUCUCUCCUAGAUCUUGAGAGGGAAAACUGA